GACGGAGGGAGCAAGCGUUGUUCGGAUUUACUGGGCGUAAAGGGCGUCUAGGCGGAUUUACAAGUCAGAUGUGAAACCCCCCGGCUCAACCGGGGAUCUGCAUUUGAUACUGUAGGUCUUGAGUACGGAAGAGGAAAGCGGAAUUCCUGGUGUAGCGGUGAAAUGCGUAGAUAUCAGGAAGAACACCGGUGGCGAAGGCGGCUUUCUGGUCCGAUACUGACGCUAAAGCGCGAAAGUGUGGGGAG
rnacentral:rRNA from 1 species